rnacentral:lncRNA from 1 species
AACAGCCAAGCAUAUAAAUGCAAUAUCAGAAAGAGCAAAUCGGCUCAUAAGUCGUCCCCUUGGGCACAACACUCCUAAACAUAUAAUACCAGGGUAUCUAGACAACAAGGCAAGUAACAGUAUGUAUGCCGAUGAAUGCAAUGCAAUGCAUAUGACCGCUACGGCGCGCAUCCCGAUCCAUUUGGGUACCCACGCUCACUGUGGGGGUUCAGACUCCGGAGGGGCUCCUACAGCCCAAGAGCAAUAUCAAUAUCACACUGUUGCGGCGUGCAGCCCGAUCCAUGCAUAUAUAUGCAUAUGCACACAUAAUGCCCGAGGCCUAAAAGCCUCCUCGCAUCACUCCUCAUGCCCUCACAUAUGGCCCUCGGCCUCAAUCAGUCCAAAAAUAGUUCAAAAGCCACUUGGACAUUAGUAAAACAAUAAUACUCAGCUCAAAUGAUAGUUCAAAUAUCGUUUAAAACUACAAGUUUGAGUAAAAUAUAGCCGAGUUCAUAAAGCAGUGUAAAUCACACAGACUGAGUUUAAAUCAUAAUUCAAAUAGUGAGGGAAACAGUGAUGAUAGUUCAUAAAGAGUUCAUACAGUCGGCAAUAAGCCCCAAGUAUGGCAAUGAGCUCAAUUAUAAUGAUAACUACAAAUUGUUUGCAAAUAUGCGGUAACAACCAACAACCGGGACGGACCAAGUCACGAUCCCCAACGGUGCUCUACCCCACGCUCAGGUCCNNNNNNNNNNNNNNNNNNNNNNNNNNNNNNNNNNNNNNNNNNNNNNNNNNNNNNNNNNNNNNNNNNNNNNNNNNNNNNNNNNNNCAAUACAGCACUAAGAUGUGCAAAUCCGGGGUUUCAAACCCUCAAGAUAUCAUUCCCAAGUAUUACUCACCUCGAACCGGCGAAAUCUCAAGCCCGCGACGCCUUUGCCCCUCAAAUUGGCCUCCACGGGCGUCGAAACUAGCCAAAAACAAAGUGAAUACAUCACAAUAUGCAAAUGAGAUAAUACCCAAUCGAAAACAACCGAAUUAUAGCAAAAUCCUCGAAACUAGCAAAACCUGAGCCCGGGUCCGCUUCUCGAAAAAUUAUGAAAUUUACAUUUUUGGAAUUCUCAUCUCGCCACGAGUCCGUACAUACCAAGAUCUCCCAAAUCCAAACUCAAAUAACCUAUCAAAUCCCAAUUUGAAAUAUCAAAAACUCAAGCCCUAGUUUCUUCGAUUUUAUACCUAAAUUCAGAGAAUUAAUGGAUGAUUGUUUGAUUAAAUGAUGUUUCUAGACCACGAGACUUACCUCCAAUCACUUCUCGUCGAAACCCCCUUUAAAUUCUAUCAACAAGCUCCCAAGGUAGUGCAAAAAUGGUGGAAAAAUGGCAUAGGUCGCGGAUGAAAUAACCCUUAAAUGAAUUCUGAUGCCAAGAUUUUUACUCUAUGUGAUCGCGUGCCCCAGGAUGCGAUCGCGAAGCACAGUGCCUUAAUGACCAAUAUUUUCCUUUACGCGAACGCGCCACCCAGAUUUUUACUCUAUGCGAUUGCGGCCACAGGCACGCGAUCGCGAAGCACAGUUCCUCAAUGACCAAAAUUUUUCCUUUACGCAAACGCGCCACUAGCCCGCAACCGCGAUGCUCCAGGUAAUUCUACUACGCGAACGGGUCUGACCCCACGCGGUUGCGAUGCUCAAUCCUCCUCUUAAUCGCGAAUGCGAAUAAACCCUAUGCGAAUGCGAUAGACAAAAUACAGGCCCACUCCAGCUGACUCUACACGUUUGCAUCCUUCCUCACGGGAACGCGUAGAAGGAAUUUCUUCUGCAAUCUUUUUCUGAAAAUCUGCUAUCUUCAAACAUGGAAAUUAGUCCGUUUGACCACCCGAAUCCAUCCCAAAGCCCCCGGGACCUCAACCAAAAAACCCAACCUACUCUAAAACACCAAACAAACUUGUUCCAAUCAUAAAAACACACACAACAACACCAAAAUCAUCAAAUUACCAGGGAUUCAAACCUAACUUUUCAUAAAACUUCUGAAACAAAGNNNNNNNNCUUUUUGACCACCCGAAUCCAUCCCGAGGCCCCCGGGACCUCAACCAAAAACACCAACCUACUCUAAAACACCAUACGAACUUGUUCCAAUCAUAAAAACAGAAACAACAACACAAAAAUCAUCAAAUUACCACGGAUUCAAUCUUAAAUUUUCUUAAAACUUUUGAAACUCAUAUUCGAUCAAAAACUCGACCAAACGACAUCCGAAUGACCUAAAAAUUUGCAGACAUAUCCAAAGUCACCUAACGAAGCUACUACAACUCUCAGAAUUUCAUUUCAACCCUCGGACCAAAAUCUCACCUAUAAACCGGAAUCCGCCAAAAUUCAAACUUCGCCAAUUCAAGCAUAAUUCCACACCGGACCUCCAAAUUCAAUUCUGAUCGCUCGCCUAAGUCACAAAUCAUCUCUCGAAGCUAACCGAACAAUCGAAAAUUACAUCCGAGCCUUCUAACUCACAAGUCAACUUCCGGUUGACUUUUCCAAAACAGGCUUCCUUCUAAGAGGCCAUGCGCCUUAUUUUCAACCAAAACCAGUUCAAUUACACUCGGUCGACUCUAAUACUGAUAUUGAAACAUGAAGCAACACAACAAGGGGGAAACGAAGCAUUAACACAUAAGUCGACGGGUCGGGUCUUCACACACGUUAUUAGCUUUGGGGAAGGCCGUGAAAUUCACUAAACGGCCCAUCCCAAAAUUUAAGUAUUUUAAUACAAACAUUUAUUGAGGGCCCUGCAAUUUACGUGUUUUAUUGAGGGCCCUUAAAUUUGAAUACCAUUAUCUGGACGUUGGCCUUCUAUACAUUGAAGUACUGGUUUCCAUUUUAAACCAUGAUGCAGGGAAUUUCAAAUCUCAUAAAACUCGAUCAUCUCAACUAAAGCCCAAAACAGUUUGACGCCUAAACCAAAUGGAUUUGAUUCUAAUUCUAAAGUUCAGACUUCCUUAUCUAUAUCUUCUGAUGAGUUUCUGAAUAUCAACAGCAAUUUUAAGUUUAUUUAUUACUAAAGGCAAAAAACAACUAAAAAUAUAGACUAGAUUCGACAAAAUGCUCAUGAAUGUAAACCUCAAAUAUAUAAACUGAACAACUUGAUUACUUCAUUAACUAUUAUAGCUUUCAAAUUUACUAACACACUCAUUUAAUAUCCCAAACAACCCUAUGACUGAUUGAAAUUAAAAUAACUACUGGAAACCUUUACUAAUCAUGACUUGGUUCUACCAUCCUACAACGAAAAUAACUAACUCAUGUCUAACUAAUAACACUCACACAAAUCGGAGAAAAAUAGUCUCACACAGUCCAAUAUGAAUCAAACAGUCCAAACAAUUUAGAAGUAAUCCUAAUUAAAGUCCAAAUCAUUACAGUCGACUAUAAUGAAAACAUCGCAACAAUUGGAGCUUCCAUUAGAAUUAUGCUUCCAUUUCAUUUCAUUUCAGCUGAAGAUCUACAUGAUUCUAAGAUUCAGGAUAGGUACCCGGGUGUUAAAUCACAGUAAGAAGAAGGUAAGAAGAAGCAGCAACAGAGGUUAUAUAACAGCUCAAAUUAGAGUUCACAGCUUCAACAAACAAUAUCAAUACUAAUCUAGAAUUGCAUUCCGAGAGGGACAGUAUCAAUAAUAAACCAAAUGAACUUGAAGAAAACCCAGACAAACUCAGAACUAGACCAGGACCACUUCUGAAAUCAACAGCUAAUAAAAACAGCCUGAAACAGUCUCACUAGAACCCAAACCCACUCGAGAUGCACUCAGGAAUCUCCAGAAAAUUUCAGUAACCAAACUAUAGACUAAAUGUUGCAAAUCAAAUACCGAAAUUCAAAAUCAACCUGAAAACUUUCAAUAGAACUGUUUUUUUGAUUUUCUGUAGUUUCUGUUUUUGUAUUUUUGUUUUCUGUUGGGAUGAACUAAGAUCUAAAGAGCUUUGAAUUUUGAAUUCAAAUUUAAGAUCUGCUGAAAUUAUAUAGACUAUUUUUUGGGCGGAAAUUUAGAGAGUGAAAAACUUGUUGCCUAAGGCACUAUUCAUGCCCUUUUAUAGGCAAAGAUGAUGACUCUAUCAGAUUCUGUAGUUUUUUAACCUAGUCCCUCUUUAUUUUCAGAUUAGUCCUCUAUUUUUUAACUUGCUUCUCAGGUUAACACACUCAUCUUCUGAAAUUUACCUUAACACCCACCUCUAGAAGCUUCUAGGAAGUUCUUGAUAGAUUCCCUACCCUUGAGUACCUAUACCCUUGACUUGGUCCUGAUAUUACUAACCAACCUCCAGCCCUGUUAACUAACCAAACAUCUUGUCUAACUAACUGUAGUUAAACCAGCAUUUCUGAAAAUCGAACAGCUAAAAACCAAACAAAUCCUAAGAGUUGAACUAACAAGGAGAUUAAUUCUAAAAUCAGUAAAUAACCAAGUAAAACAACACUGAAAAUUGAUCUAACCACCAACCAAACAGAGCUUAAACAAAAAUUAAUCUAACUAAUCUAAUUAGCUGACAUUUAAUUCUAAACAAAUAACAAUUACCUAGUAUAGUCCCACAAAGUGGAGUCUGGGGUAAUAUGUAGAUGAGCCUUACCCCUACCCGAAAGGGCAGAGAGGCUGUUUCCAAUAAACUCUAAACAAAUAGAAAUCUCAAAUGUCGUAAAGCUAACACAACAAUGAACUAAUUAAAAUCAAACAUAGCCAAAAAUGAAACCAACUAUGAAGACUAAACGGCCAGAAAUCAAAAAAUGCAAAGCGACAGUUAAACAUGGAACCCUACUAUGGAAUCAAACUGGCAAAUUACUAAAACAAACUAACUAUAUAGUAAAGAAAGAUCAGAACCCUCAAUUGAAAUCCUAAUUCACCACAACGAUAACAAACUUUGAAUAAAAACAAAACGAUAAUAAUAAAAAGCAACUGAAAACAUAGAAGAAAGGUCAAACUCACUGAUUUGAGCCUUCGACUUGACUGAACUUGGAAUUGAUCUUCAAAUGAUAUUAUGUGUUUGUUCUUACCAAGAACAAACACAUAACAUGAUUUUAAAAUCAUUCGAACACCGACUGACACUGAAAAUUCAAGCAACCUUGACAGCAAACCCUAGAUUUGGGAUUCGAAACUUUUUAGUCGGAUUGGGGAAAAUAGCUUGGUGAUUUGGACGUAUGAGAGUUAAGAGAGUAUGGGGUGUGAAUUUGGUAGAUUUUGGAUGAACUUGUAUUUUGGACCGGACCUUUGAUUUAAUAUUCGAAACGUUAGGUUGUGAUUUGAGGAAAACUAUGGCCAGAUUCGAGAUGAGGGAGAAAAGGAGAUUCUAGGGUGUUAUUUUGGUGGGUGUUGGCGUCGGCGCCGCCACCGGAGACGGUGGGGAAUUAGUGGAGGCUCAAUUAGGGUUCUUGUGAAGAGGGUCUGUGAGGGAGACGAUUCGGGGGUAUGGGGGUUUCAGACACUAAUAUAUGAAGGU